UGGUGUGUUUUGUGUGAGAAAAAGCUUACAGCACCUGGUAUUCCCAGGCGGUCUCCCAUCCAAGUACUGACCAGGCCCGACCCUGCUUAGCUUCCGAGAUCAGACGAGAUCGGGCGUAUUCAGGCUGGUAUGGCCGUAAGC